CCUACGGGAGGCAGCAGUGGGGAAUAUUGGACAAUGGGCGAAAGCCUGAUCCAGCAAUGCCGCGUGAGUGAUGAAGGCCUUAGGGUUGUAAAGCUCUUUUACCAGGGAUGAUAAUGACAGUACCUGGAGAAUAAGCUCCGGCUAACUCCGUGCCAGCAGCCGCGGUAAUACGGAGGGAGCUAGCGUUGUUCGGAAUUACUGGGCGUAAAGCGUACGUAGGCGGUUAUUCAAGUCAGAGGUGAAAGCCUGGAGCUCAACUCCAGAACUGCCUUUGAAACUAGAUAGCUAGAAUCUUGGAGAGGUGAGUGGAAUUCCGAGUGUAGAGGUGAAAUUCGUAGAUAUUCGGAAGAACACCAGUGGCGAAGGCGACUCACUGGACAAGUAUUGACGCUGAGGUACGAAAGCGUGGGGAGCAAACAGGAUUAGAUACCCUGGUAGUCCACGCCGUAAACGAUGAUAACUAGCUGUUCGGGCUCUACGAGCUUGAGUGGCGCAGCUACGACAUUAAGUUAUCCGCCGUGGGAGGUACGGUCGCGAGAAUUAAACUACAAUAGAAGUUAGUACGGCGUGAGACGUCGCCGACGGACGACGACGAGGGAGGUUAGG
rnacentral:rRNA from 1 species